rnacentral:rRNA from 6 species
UGUCGUCAGCUCGUGUUGUGAAAUGUUGGGUUAAGUCCCGCAACGAGCGCAACCCUUAUCCUUUGUUGCCAGCGGUCCGGCCGGGAACUCAAAGGAGACUGCCAGUGAUAAACUGGAGGAAGGUGGGGAUGACGUCAAGUCAUCAUGGCCCUUACGACCAGGGCUACACACGUGCUACAAUGGCGCAUACAAAGAGAAGCGACCUCGCGAGAGCAAGCGGACCUCAUAAAGUGCGUCGUAGUCCGGAUUGGAGUCUGCAACUCGACUCCAUGAAGUCGGAAUCGCUAGUAAUCGUGGAUCAGAAUGCCACGGUGAAUACGUUCCCGGGCCUUGUACACACCGCCCGUCACACCAUGGGAGUGGGUUGCAAAAGAAGUAGGUAGCUUAACCUUCGGGAGGGCGCUUACCACUUUGUGAUUCAUGACUGGGGUGAAGUCGUAACAAGGUAACCGUAGGGGAACCUGCGGUUGGAUCACCUCCUUACCUGAAAGAAGC